rnacentral:ncRNA from 1 species
AAAAAAAACCCGCCAUCAUGGCGGGGUAGACAGGGAUACGUCUAUGGCAAGGAAAACAGGGGUACUAUCUUU